UUUCCGUAGGUGAACCUGCGGAAGGAUCAUUCAUAAUAAAGUGUUUUAUGGCACUUUUUAAAGAUCCAUAUCCACCUUGUGUGCAAUGUUAGAUCUCGUCAAUCUUGGCGAGGUUUUUAUACAUCAACUCAUUCUUUAACUAAUUUGUCUGAAAAAUAUUAUGAAUACUUAAUUCAAAAUACAACUUUCAACAACGGAUCUCUUGGCUCUC
rnacentral:misc_RNA from 1 species